rnacentral:rRNA from 1 species
UCAUCUUCGGGGGUAGAGCACUGUUUCGGCUAGGGGGUCAUCCCGACUUACCAACCCGAUGCAAACUGCGAAUACCGAAGAAUGUUAUCACGGGAGACACACGGCGGGUGCUAACGUCCGUCGUGAAGAGGGAAACAACCCAGACCGCCAGCUAAGGUCCCAAAGUCAUGGUUAAGUGGGAAACGAUGUGGGAAGGCACAGACAGCCAGGAUGUUGGCUUAGAAGCAGCCAUCAUUUAAAGAAAGCGUAAUAGCUCACUGGUCGAGUCGGCCUGCGCGGAAGAUGUAACGGGGCUAAACCAUGCACCGAAGCUGCGGCAGCGACACUAUGUGUUGUUGGGUAGGGGAGCGUUCUGUAAGCCGUUGAAGGUGUAUCGUGAGGUAUGCUGGAGGUAUCAGAAGUGCGAAUGCUGACAUAAGUAACGAUAAUGCGGGUGAAAAACCCGCACGCCGGAAGACCAAGGGUUCCUGUCCAACGUUAAUCGGGGCAGGGUGAGUCGACCCCUAAGGCGAGGCCGAAAGGCGUAGUCGAUGGGAAACAGGUUAAUAUUCCUGUACUUGGUGUUACUGCGAAGGGGGGACGGAGAAGGCUAUGUUAGCCGGGCGACGGUUGUCCCGGUUUAAGCAUGUAGGCGGAGGUUCCAGGUAAAUCCGGUACCUUUUUAACGCUGAGGUGUGAUGACGAGGCACUACGGUGCUGAAGUAACAAAUGCCCUGCUUCCAGGAAAAGCCUCUAAGCAUCAGGUAACACGAAAUCGUACCCCAAACCGACACAGGUGGUCAGGUAGAGAAUACCAAGGCGCUUGAGAGAACUCGGGUGAAGGAACUAGGCAAAAUGGUGCCGUAACUUCGGGAGAAGGCACGCUGAUAUGUAGGUGAAGUGAUUUACUCAUGGAGCUGAAAUCAGUCGAAGAUACCAGCUGGCUGCAACUGUUUAUUAAAAACACAGCACUGUGCAAACACGAAAGUGGACGUAUACGGUGUGACGCCUGCCCGGUGCCGGAAGGUUAAUUGAUGGGGUUAUCCGUAAGGAGAAGCUCUUGAUCGAAGCCCCGGUAAACGGCGGCCGUAACUAUAACGGUCCUAAGGUAGCGAAAUUCCUUGUCGGGUAAGUUCCGACCUGCACGAAUGGCGUAAUGAUGGCCAGGCUGUCUCCACCCGAGACUCAGUGAAAUUGAACUCGCUGUGAAGAUGCAGUGUACCCGCGGCAAGACGGAAAGACCCCGUGAACCUUUACUAUAGCUUGACACUGAACACUGGUCCUUGAUGUGUAGGAUAGGUGGGAGGCUUUGAAGUGUGGACGCCAGUCUGCAUGGAGCCAUCCUUGAAAUACCACCCUUUAAUGGCUGGUGUUCUAACGUGGACCCGUAAUCCGGGUUGCGGACAGUGUCUGGUGGGUAGUUUGACUGGGGCGGUCUCCUCCUAAAGAGUAACGGAGGAGCACGAAGGUUAGCUAAUCCUGGUCGGACAUCAGGAGGUUAGUGCAAAGGCAUAAGCUAGCUUGACUGCGAGAGUGACGGCUCGAGCAGGUGCGAAAGCAGGUCUUAGUGAUCCGGUGGUUCUGAAUGGAAGGGCCAUCGCUCAACGGAUAAAAGGUACUCCGGGGAUAACAGGCUGAUACCGCCCAAGAGUUCAUAUCGACGGCGGUGUUUGGCACCUCGAUGUCGGCUCAUCACAUCCUGGGGCUGAAGUAGGUCCCAAGGGUAUGGCUGUUCGCCAUUUAAAGUGGUACGCGAGCUGGGUUUAGAACGUCGUGAGACAGUUCGGUCCCUAUCUGCCGUGGGCGCUGGAGAAUUGAGGGGGGCUGCUCCUAGUACGAGAGGACCGGAGUGGACGCAUCACUGGUGUUCGGGUUGUCAUGCCAAUGGCAUUGCCCGGUAGCUAAAUGCGGAAGAGAUAAGUGCUGAAAGCAUCUAAGCACGAAACUUGCCCCGAGAUGAGUUCUCCCUGAGACUUUAAGUCUCCUGAAGGAACGUUGAAGACGACGACGUUGAUAGGUCGGGUGUGUAAG